rnacentral:rRNA from 1 species
CAAUAGCGUAUAUUUAAGUUGUUGCAGUUAAAAAGCUCGUAGUUGAAUUUUUGCUUGCCGCCGAUGUCGGAACUUCCGUACGUUCGGCGGCGUGCAUCCUUGGGUGGAACCUGUGUGGCAUUAGGUUGUCGUGCAGGGGAUGCUCAUCGUUUACUGUGAAAAAAUUAGAGUGUUCAAAGCAGGCUUAUGCCGUUGAAUAUAUUAGCAUGGAAUAAUAAGAUAGGACCUUGGUACUAUUUUGUUGGUUUGCGCACCGAGGUAAUGAUUAACAGGGACAGUUGGGGGUAUUCGUAUUCCAUUGUCAGAGGUGUAAUUCUUGGAUUUCUGGAAGACGAACUACUGCGAAAGCAUUUACCAAGGAUGUUUUCAUUA